GACGUAGGGCGCGAGCGUUGUCCGGAUUUAUUGGGCGUAAAGAGCUCGUAGGCGGCUUGUCGCGUCGUCCGUGAAAACCCACAGCUCAACUGUGGGCUUGCGGUCGAUACGGGCAGGCUAGAGUUCGGUAGGGGAGACUGGAAUUCCUGGUGUAGCGGUGAAAUGCGUAGAUAUCAGGAGGAACACCCGUGGCGAAGGCGGUUCUCUGGGACGGUACUGACGCUGAGGAGCGAAAGCGUGGGGAGCGAACAGG
rnacentral:rRNA from 1 species